AAUGUACGCUGGCGGCACGCCUAACACAUGCAAGUCGAGCGAGGUACUUGUACCUAGCGGCAGACGGGUGCGUAACAUGUGGGAAUCUGCCUUUUGGUUCGGAACAACACGGGGAAACUUGUGCUAAUACCGGAUAAGUCCUAACGGAGAAAGAUUUAUCGCCGAAAGAUGAGCCCGCACUAGAUUAGCUUGUUGGUAAGGUAAAAGCUUACCAAGGCUACGAUCUAUAGCUGAUUUGAGAGGAUGAUCAGCCACACUGGGACUGAGACACGGCCCAGACUCCUACGGGAGGCAGCAGUGGGGAAUCUUGCACAAUGGAGGAAACUCUGAUGCAGCGAUGCCGCGUGAGUGAAGAAGGCCCUUGGGUUGUAAAGCUCUUUUGUCGGGAAAGAUAAUGACUGUACCCGAAGAAUAAGGUCCGGCUAACUUCGUGCCAGCAGCCGCGGUAAUACGAAGGGACCUAGCGUAAUUCGGAAUUACUGGGCGUAAAGCGCGCGUAGGCGGUUAAGUAAGUUAAUUGUGAAAGCCCAAAGCUCAACUUUGGAAUUGCAAUUAAAACUACUUAGCUAGAGUUUAUCAGAGGAAAGCGGAAUACAUAGUGUAGAGGUGAAAUUCGUAGAUAUUAUGUAGAACACCAGUUGCGAAGGCGGCUUUCUGGGAUAAUACUGACGCUGAGGUGCGAAAGUAUGGGUAGCGAAGAGGAUUAGAUACCCUCGUAGUCCAUACCGUAAACGAUGAUUGUUAGAUGUUGGAAAUUUAUUUUCAGUAUCACAGCUAACGCGUUAAACAAUCCGCCUGGGGAGUACGACCGCAAGGUUAAAACUCAAAUGAAUUGACGGGGACCCGCACAAGCGGUGGAGCAUGUGGUUUAAUUCGAAGCUACGCGCAGAACCUUACCAACACUUGACAUGUCUGUCGCGGAUUCCAGAGAUGGAUUCCUUCGGUUCGGCCGGACAGAACACAGGUGCUGCAUGGCUGUCGUCAGCUCGUGUCCUGAGAUGUUGGGUUAAGUCCCGCAACGAGCGCAA
rnacentral:rRNA from 1 species